UGAAUACGAGAUGCUACGGCGUCGAAGCAGUCUAUGUCAUACUUCCAAGAAAAGCUCGCACUGUCAUAAACAAAUAAUGCCUGUACCAUAACCGACACAGGUGGGUAGGUAGAGUAUACUAAGGGGCGCGAGAUAACUCUCUCUAAGGAACUCGGCAAAAUGACUCCGUAACUUCGGGAGAAGGAGUGCCUUAUUUAUAAGGUUGCAAUAACAAGAUCCAAGCAACUGUUUAUCAAAAACACAGGUCUCCGCUAAGUCGUAAGACGAUGUAUGGGGGCUGACGCCUGCCCAGUGCCAGAAGGUUAAAGAAGUUGGUUAGCAUUCGCGAAGCUGAUAACUGAAGCCCUGGUGAACGGCGGCCGUAACAAUAACGGUCCUAAGGUAGCGAAAUUCCUUGUCGGGUAAGUUCCGACCCGCACGAAAGGCGUAAUGAUUUGGAUACUGUCUCGGAGAGGGGCUCGGUGAAAUAGACUUGUCUGUGAAGAUGCGGACUACCUGCACCAGGACAGAAAGACCCUAUGAAGCUUUACUGUAACUUGAGAUUGAAAUUGGACUUUACUUGCGCAGUAUAGGUGGGAGGCGUUGAUAAUAUUCUUGCGGGAUUAUUUGAGCCAUCAGUGAGAUACCACUCUUGUAAUGUUAGAUUUCUAACUUUGUAUCAUUAUCUGGUCAAAGGACAGUUUCAGGCGGGCAGUUUGACUGGGGCGGUCGCCUCCUAAACGGUAACGGAGGCGCACAAAGGUUUCCUCUGAACGGGUAGAAAUCGUAUCUAGAGUGUAAAGGCAUAAGGAAGCUUGACUGUGAGACCUACAAGUCGAGCAGGGACGAAAGUCGGUCUUAGUGAUCUGACGGUGCUGAGUGGAAAGGCCGUCACUCAACGGAUAAAAGUUACUCUAAGGAUAACAGGCUGAUCUCCCCCAAGAGUUCACAUCGACGGGGAGGUUUGGCACCUCGAUGUCGGCUCAUCGCAUCCUGGGGCGGUAGUACGUCCCAAGGGUUGGGCUGUUCGCCCAUGAAAGCGGUACGCGAGCUGGGUUCAGAACGUCGUGAGACAGUUCGGUCCAUAUCCGGUGUAGGCGUUAGAAUAUUGAGAGGAGCCUUCUUUAGUACGAGAGGACCGAGAAGGACAUACCUCUGGUGUACCAGUUAUCGUGCCAACGGUAAACGCUGGGUAGCUAUGUAUGGAGUGGAUAACCGCUGAAAGCAUCUAAGUGGGAAGCCCACCUCAAGAUAAGUAUUCUCAUC
rnacentral:rRNA from 1 species